UACAGAGGUCCCAAGCGUUGUUCGGAUUCACUGGGCGUAAAGGGCGCGUAGGCGGUUUGACCAGUCAGGUGUGAAAUUCCCGGGCUUAACCUGGGGGCUGCACUUGAUACUGUCAGGCUUGAAUUCGGGAGAGGAUAGCGGAAUUCCCAGUGUAGAGGUGAAAUUCGUAGAUAUCUGGAGGAACACCGGUGGCGAAGGCGGCGUCCUGGACCAACACUGACACUGAUGAGCGAAAGCCAGGGGAGCAAACGGG
rnacentral:rRNA from 1 species